rnacentral:lncRNA from 1 species
ACCAACUGAUGACAAAACAUAAAGUAGCUCCAAAUACUGCUGUCCUAAACCAACAUUCGAAAAACUACACCCCCCACCCCAAGAGCUUUAUAACUUAAAGAACUUUUAAAUACAUCCCAAAAAACAAUGCCCAAUAGAAAACACCUAUACAUAAAACCCAACAUAACCCAGUCACCAUGCACUGAAUUUCUAACCAGAUACAUAAGUAAUUCUAAAUUGAAAGUCCUUACAUCCGUACCUAAUACUUUUUAAACAUUGAUUCAGGAAUUCAUACACAUCCAUGCUUAUUUG